rnacentral:lncRNA from 1 species
UGCAUGCAUGUACAUAUAUAUAUACUAACAUACAGUACUCUCAUCCAACGCAAUCGGCUAAAAAGAAAAACACAAAAACUCGAUCGGACUGACAUAUACUGCUGGAACUAAAGCAUGAAGUACUGCUGCUUAUCGUCCAGCUGCUGCUUGCCGUUGCCGUUGCCGUUGCCGCCGCCUCUCCUGCCGCGGUGGUCGAGGCCGCCACGCCCACGCGCCGCCGCGGACACCGACGACGACGAGGCGGAGGGCGAGGUGGUGGUGGGCGCGCGGAAGCCGAUGUUCUCGACG